AGGCGUGGUGAUAGCAAGUUGAAUGAACUGGUUCUUCGUGGAGACCGUGGAUCACUGAAGUUAAGCAGCGUUGCGUGUGGUUGGUACCCGGAUGAAUGACCAUUUAGGAGUCUCAGGAGCAAUCGCGUGCU
rnacentral:rRNA from 1 species